rnacentral:rRNA from 1 species
GAUAGAACGCUGGCGGCGUGCUUAACACAUGCAAGUCGAACGGAGCUUAGAGAGCUUGCUUUUUUAAGCUUAGUGGCGAACGGGUGAGUAACGCGUGAGUAACCUGCCCUAGAGUGGGGGACAACAGUUGGAAAACGACUGCUAAUACCGCAUAAGCCCACGGUAUCGCAUGGUACUGAAGGGAAAAGGAUUUAUUCGCUUUAGGAUGGACUCGCGUCCAAUUAGCUAGUUGGUGAGGUAACGGCCCACCAAGGCGACGAUUGGUAGCCGGACUGAGAGGUUGAACGGCCACAUUGGGACUGAGACACGGCCCAGACUCCUACGGGAGGCAGCAGGUGGGGGAUAUUGCACAAUGGGGGAAACCCUGAUGCAGCGACGCCGCGUGGAGGAAGAAGGUUUUCGGAUUGUAAACUCCUGUCGUUAGGGACGAUAAUGACGGUACCUAACAAGAAAGCACCGGCUAACUACGUG